rnacentral:lncRNA from 1 species
ACUAUGCUUAAGGUUAGAGAAGAACAAAUACACUUUUGGUUCUGUUGGUGUUUUCCACCAACAGGGCCCAUGCACUUGAUCUCUGUCUUGUCUCUAUGAGCAGGUACACUUCGAGCAAAAUAUGAAGGAGUUUUACAACUCCCAGACUCCACCAAGUGAAGAACAUGGAUCUACGAGCACAAACACACUGGAGAUACUGGACACUCAGGCAAUCACUGCCCUGAGAUGCUUGAGGACGUAAACUACAUCAACAACAACUACUACUACUACUACAACCGUCCUGAACAAAAUCAAGGUUGGAAUCAACAGAGGCCUAACUACUCAGGUAACUACUGG